AUGGCUGCAACUGUCCCAAAGUCUGCCUCGGCCACAUGGCGAGCUAUAUGUGCGGGCAAGCAAGCAUUGGGAGCCGGCCUUGUGAAACGAAUUGGAGAUGGCACCUCGGUGUCCAUUUGGAAUGAUAGUUGGGUGCCAGGCCUACUCUCCUUACGGCCAACUGCUCACAUCGGUAACACCAACAUUACUGCUGUGUAUGAGCUGAUUGAUGGAGAUCGAGGUUUAUGGAAGGUGGGAUUAGUGAGGCACCAUUUCAUCGCCCCCGAAGCUGAUGCUAUUCUCAAUAUCCCGUUGAGGGCGGAGGGGGGAGAGGAUUACUGGGCAUGGAAUGCUGAAAAGUCGGGCAUCUACACUGUGAAAUCAGCGUACCGUUCUCUUAUGACCUUGAAUGAGCAUUCUGCUCAAAGGGAAGGGACGGUUACGGAAUCCUUAGAGCAGCAAAAACAGUUGUGGACAAGACUUUGGAAGCUAAAAGUUGUGCCAAAGGUGAGAGUGUUU
rnacentral:rRNA from 1 species